rnacentral:rRNA from 1 species
GAUGAACGCUGGCGGCGUGCUUAACACAUGCAAGUCGAACGAAGCACUUUAUUUGAUUUCCUUCGGGACUGAUUAUUUUGUGACUGAGUGGCGGACGGGUGAGUAACGCGUGGGUAACCUGCCUUGUACAGGGGGAUAACAGUUGGAAACGGCUGCUAAUACCGCAUAAGCGCACAGCAUCGCAUGAUGCAGUGUGAAAAACUCCGGUGGUAUAAGAUGGACCCGCGUUGGAUUAGCUAGUUGGUGAGGUAACGGCCCACCAAGGCGACGAUCCAUAGCCGACCUGAGAGGGUGACCGGCCACAUUGGGACUGAGACACGGCCCAAACUCCUACGGGAGGCAGCAGUGGGGAAUAUUGCACAAUGGGCGAAAGCCUGAUGCAGCGACGCCGCGUGAGCGAAGAAGUAUUCGGUAUGUAAAGCUCUAUCAGCAGGGAAGAUAAUGACGGUACCUGACUAAGAAGCACCGGCUAAAUACGUGCCAG